GAGUAAAAGGAGUCCGGUCGAACAUCAAAACUGAUCCUCGAGUGUCGUUCGGCACCUGAAGAGGGUCUGACUAAGGUUGUUCAUUUCUGGACCAAGACGCGAAAUCGAUACUUUAGUGGUAUCUCACGGCAAUGAAACCUCAUCGAAUCGGUUACUGCAUGUUUCGUUGGGUUUCCGCCAGAUGACGUA
rnacentral:rRNA from 1 species